rnacentral:snRNA from 1 species
AUCGCUUCUCUGCUCUCUGAACUAAGAUCAUGUGUAGUACCUGUUCUUUGCAGUGUAACUUCUGCAACGGUCUCUAAAUUGAGACAAAUUAAACUACCAUUGUUUUUCUAUGCCGGACAUGUGCUGUGAGCUUGCUCAACCAUGUCCACGGGUCGGCCUCGGAUUGCAUUACCUCGAGGAUUGGCCCAUUACUU